rnacentral:rRNA from 1 species
UUUUUAUGGAGAGUUUGAUCCUGGCUCAGGAUGAACGCUGGCGGCGUGCCUAAUACAUGCAAGUCGAGCGAACAGACGAGGAGCUUGCUUCUCUGACGUUAGCGGCGGACGGGUGAGUAACACGUGGAUAACCUACCUAUAAGACUGGGAUAACUUCGGGAAACCGGAGCUAAUACCGGAUAAUAUAUUGAACCGCAUGGUUCAAUAGUGAAAGACGGUUUUGCUGUCACUUAUAGAUGGAUCCGCGCCGCAUUAGCUAGUUGGUAAGGUAACGGCUUACCAAGGCAACGAUGCGUAGCCGACCUGAGAGGGUGAUCGGCCACACUGGAACUGAGACACGGUCCAGACUCCUACGGGAGGCAGCAGUAGGGAAUCUUCCGCAAUGGGCGAAAGCCUGACGGAGCAACGCCGCGUGAGUGAUGAAGGUCUUCGGAU